rnacentral:rRNA from 1 species
GGUGAGUAACACGUAGGUGAUCUACCGCAGGGGUUGGGGAUAGCCCAUGGAAACAUGGGGUAAUACCGAAUACGCUCAUUUGGCUGUGGCCGGAUGAGGAAAGGCGCUUCGGCGUCGCCCUGCGAUGAGCCUGCGCCCCAUUAGCUAGUUGGUAGGGUAAAGGCCUACCAAGGCGACGAUGGGUAGCCGGCCUGAGAGGGUGAUCGGCCACACUGGGACUGAGAUACGGCCCAGACUCCUACGGGAGGCAGCAGCUAAGAAUCUUCCGCAAUGGACGAAAGUCUGACGGAGCGACGCCGCGUGGGUGAAGAAGGCCGGAAGGUUGUAAAGCCCUUUUCUCGUUGAGGAAUAAGCACAGGAGGGAAUGCCUGUGCGAUGACGGUAGGCGAGGAAUAAGUCCCGGCCAAUUACGUGCCAGCAGCCGCGGUAACACGUAUGGGACGAGCGUUGUUCGGAAUCAUUGGGCGUAAAGGGCGCGUAGGCGGCGAGGUAAGCCUGGUGUGAAAGACCGCAGCUUAACUGCGGAACCGCGCUAGGAACUGCUUUGCUUGAGUUCAGGAGGGGGAGCUGGAAUUCCAGGUGUAGGGGUGAAAUCUGUAGAUAUCUGGAAGAACAUCGGCGGCGAAGGCGAGCUCCUGGCCAUGAACUGACGCUGAGGCGCGAAAGCGUGGGGAGCGAACAGGAUUAGAUACCCUGGUAGUCCACGCUGUAAACGAUGUGCACUAGGUGUUGGGCCACGAAGGUUCAGUGCCGGAGUCAACGCGUUAAGUGCACCGCCUGGGGAGUAUGCUCGCAAGGGUGAAACUCAAAGGAAUUGACGGGGGCCCGCACAAGCGGUGGAGCAUGUGGUUUAAUUCGAUGAUACGCGAGGAACCUUACCAGGGUUUGACAUAUGCCGGAAUGUGCAGGAGACUGCGCAGCCCUUCGGGGCCGGUAUACAGGUGCUGCAUGGCCGUCGUCAGCUCGUGCCGUGAGGUGUUGGGUUAAGUCCCGCAACGAGGGCAACCCGUACUGUCUGUUGCCAGCAUUCAGUGGGGGAGUCAGGCGGAACUGCCGGUGUCAAACCGGAGGAAGGUGGGGAAGACGUCAGGUCAUCAUGUCCCUUAUAUCUUGGGGUACACUCGUGUUACAAUGGCC